CGCCUGGGGAGUACGGCCGCAAGGUUAAAACUCAAAUGAAUUGACGGGGGCCCGCACAAGCGGUGGAGCACGUGGUUUAAUUCGACGCAACGCGAAGAACCUUACCUGGCCUUGACAUCCAGAGAACUUUCCAGAGAUGGAUUGGUGCCUUCGGGAACUCUGAGACAGGUGCUGCAUGGCCGUCGUCAGCUCGUGUCGUGAGAUGUUGGGUUAAGUCCCGUAACGAGCGCAACCCCUACCCCUGGUUGCUAGCAGGUAAUGCUGAGAACUCCAGGGAGACUGCCGGUGACAAACCGGAGGAAGGUGGGGAUGACGUCAGGUCAUCAUGGCCCUUACGGCCAGGGCUACACACGUGCUACAAUGGCGCGUACAGAGGGCUGCCAACUCGCGAGAGUGAGCCAAUCCCUUAAAACGCGUCGUAGUCCGGAUCGGAGUCUGCAACUCGACUCCGUGAAGUCGGAAUCGCUAGUAAUCGCGAAUCAGAAUGUCGCGGUGAAUACGUUCCCGGGCCUUGUACACACCGCCCGUCACACCAUGGGAGUGGAUUGCACCAGAAGUAGUUAGUCUAACCUUCGGGAGGACGAUUACCACGGUGUGGUUCAUGACUGGGGUGAAGUCGUAACAAGGUAACCGUA
rnacentral:rRNA from 1 species